rnacentral:rRNA from 1 species
GACGAACGCUGGCGGCGUGCUUAACACAUGCAAGUCGAACGAAGAGCGAUGGAAGCUUGCUUCUAUCAAUCUUAGUGGCGAACGGGUGAGUAACGCGUAAUCAACCUGCCCUUCAGAGGGGGACAACAGUUGGAAACGACUGCUAAUACCGCAUACGAUCUAAACUCGGCAUCGAGGAUAGAUGAAAGGUGGCCUCUACAUGUAAGCUAUCACUGAAGGAGGGGAUUGCGUCUGAUUAGCUAGUUGGAGGGGUAACGGCCCACCAAGGCGAUGAUCAGUAGCCGGUCUGAGAGGAUGAACGGCCACAUUGGGACUGAGACACGGCCCAGACUCCUACGGGAGGCAGCAGUGGGGAAUCUUCCGCAAUGGACGAAAGUCUGACGGAGCAACGCCGCGUGAGUGAUGACGGCCUUCGGGUUGUAAAGCUCUGUUAAUCGGGACGAAAGGCCUUCUUGCGAAUAGUGAGAAGGAUUGACGGUACCGGAAGAGAAAGCCACGGCUAACUACGUG